AUUGAACGCUGGCGGCAGGCUUAACACAUGCAAGUCGAGCGAGCGGCGGACGGGUGAGUAAUGUCUGGGAAACUGCCUGAUGGAGGGGGAUAACUACUGGAAACGGUAGCUAAUACCGCAUACCAUCAGAUGUGCCCAGAUGGGAUUAGCUAGUAGGUGGGGUAAUGGCUCACCUAGGCGACGAUCCCUAGCUGGUCUGAGAGGAUGACCAGCCACACGGGAACUUAGACCCGGUCCAGCGUCCUACGGGAGGCCGCAGUGGGGAAUAUUGCACAAUGGGCGCAAGCCUUAUGCAGCCAUGCCGCGUGUGUGAAGAAGGCCUUCGGGUUGUAAAGCACUUUCAGCGAGGAGGCGUUACUCGCAGAAGAAGCACCGGCUAACUCCGUGCCAGCAGCCGCGGUAAUUC
rnacentral:rRNA from 1 species